rnacentral:rRNA from 1 species
AAUAAAAUAGAAGUUUAAAUAAUUUAUAUAAAAAAAUUAAUUUUAAAUGGUGAAAUAUAAAAAAUUAUAAAUUUAUAUAAUUAAAUAUAAUAUAAUUUAAGAGUUUAUAAAAUAAACUAGGAUUAGAUACCCUAUUAUAGUAAAAAAAAAAAUUAAUAUUAAAGUAUUAAAUGUUAGAUCAUUAAAUUUAUAAGAUUUGGCGGUAUUUUAUACAAAUUAGGGGAACUUGUUUAGUAAUUGAUGAACCACGAUAAGAUUUACUUAAUUUAAUAUUUAUGUAUUGCUGUUUAAAAAUGUAUUUUAAGAAUAUAAAUUAUGAUUUAUAAAUAUAAAAUAAUUCAAGUCAAAAUAUAGUUUAGUUAAGAUAUAAUGAGUUACAAAAAAAUAAAUUUAUAUGAAUUUUUAUAUUUAAUUAUAAAAUGAAGGUGGAUUUAAAAGUAAAAUUAAUAAAUAAAUUAAUUUGAAAUUUUGUUUUAAAAU